rnacentral:rRNA from 1 species
UACGGCUUCGCUUGAGGAUGAGCUUGCGUCCCAUUAGCUAGUUGGUGAGGUAAAGGCCCACCAAGGCGACGAUGGGUAUCCGGCCUGAGAGGGUGAUCGGACACAUUGGGACUGAGAUACGGCCCAAACUCCUACGGGAGGCAGCAGCUAAGAAUAUUCCGCAAUGGACGGAAGUCUGACGGAGCGACGCCGCGUGGAUGAAGAAGGCUGAAAAGUUGUAAAAUCCUUUUGUUGAUGAAGAAUAAGGGUGAGAGGGAAUGCUCAUCUGAUGACGGUAAUCGACGAAUAAGCCCCGGCUAAUUACGUGCCAGCAGCCGCGGUAACACGUAAGGGGCGAGCGUUGUUCGGAAUUAUUGGGCGUAAAGGGCAUGUAGGCGGUUAUGUAAGCCUGAUGUGAAAUCCUGGGGCUUAACCCUAGAAUAGCAUUGGGUACUGUGUAACUUGAAUUACGGAAGGGAAACUGGAAUUCCAAGUGUAGGGGUGGAAUCUGUAGAUAUUUGGAAGAACACCGGUGGCGAAGGCGGGUUUCUGGCCGAUAAUUGACGCUGAGAUGCGAAAGUGUGGGGAUCGAACAGGAUUAGAUACCCUGGUAGUCCACACCGUAAACGAUGUACACUAGGUGUUGGGGCAAGAGCUUCAGUGCCAAAGCAAACGCGAUAAGUGUACCGCCUGGGGAGUAUGCCCGCAAGGGUGAAACUCAAAGGAAUUGACGGGGGCCCGCACAAGCGGUGGAGCAUGUGGUUUAAUUCGAUGGUACGCGAGGAACCUUACCUGGGUUUGACAUCUAGUAGAAGGUCUUAGAGAUAAGGCCGGGUAGCAAUACCCUGCUAGACAGGUGCUGCAUGGCUGUCGUCAGCUCGUGCCGUGAGGUGUUGGGUUAAGUCCCGCAACGAGCGCAACCCCUACUGCCAGUUACUAACAGGUAAAGCUUGAGGACUCUGGCGGAACUGCCGAUGACAAAUC